rnacentral:rRNA from 1 species
UUUUAUGGAGAGUUUGAUCCUGGCUCAGGAUGAACGCUGGCGGCGUGCCUAAUACAUGCAAGUCGAGCGAACGGACGAGAAGCUUGCUUUUCUGAUGUUAGCGGCGGACGGGUGAGUAACACGUGGAUAACCUACCUAUAAGACUGGGAUAACUUCGGGAAACCGGAGCUAAUACCGGAUAAUAUUUUGAACCGCAUGGUUUAAACGUGAAAGACGGUCUUGUUGUCACUUAUAGAUGGAACCGCGCUGCACUAGCUAGUUGGUAAGGUUACGGCCUA